GACGAAAAAAACAAAGAGCAACAAAAAUUUAGCAUCACAUAGUAAGCUAUACACACUGUGCAUGCACUCAGAUUGUAGGAGAUGCUCCCCCCAAGACGGGCCCCUGGCAUCUUAUCUCUUAAGGAGAUAACUCGAAUUCCCCACUGCCUGCAUCACUCUCAGGAAUCGAAACUGUUUUUAUUGGCUGUUAAACUAGGAUAGUAAUUGGUUUAUAUCCUCACCUAGGAUUUUAAGGUAAUUGGUUAGUUUGUAAUGUAUAGGCUUUUAUUGGUUAGUUUUUGAAUCCCCCCAAAACCUAUAUAAGAUCUUUGUAUCCCUUUGUCUUCGGACUUCUGCGGCCAGUCUCCCUUCAGAUAAUAAAGCAUCUGGAAUGACCGGAGCCCGAGUCCCAAGUCCUUUUCUCCGCUAGCGUGUAACUGAGGUCUGCCACAGGCGUUCCCCCAACUAUCGGAGCUCCUGCGGCAGACUGCCCGGGGUGGAAAGGAAAUCCCCCCGGGAGAACAGUUACAGGCCUUCUUGGCAUCUUCCUAAAAUAUAAUUUAUUUUCUUCUGAGGGCAAGGCCAAUUUGUGCUCUCACGAGCUCUGAAAACCCUGAAAUCCUUUUCCAGCUUUAAUGAAAGUAACAAAGAAAUAGAAACCCCUGAUUUUUAAAUUUUUUUUAAGAAAGUUGCUCUUUCUAUAUAAUGAAUUAGACACAAGGAAUUAGCUAAGGCACCACAACUGUGAAGACUCAAAUUUCAUGUUGACUGUGGGAGAGUCUUCAUGCCACGAUCAUCACUGAGUUUAAGCUGGAGAUGUGUGGGCAUCCUGAGGACUGCAACAGAUUUUCAAGAGUUGCCUGAAGCAUACACAGAACUGAACUGGCACAGAGGAGAUUUCAUAAGGUGCAAUUGUCAGAAGGAAUUCUGCGGCCAGUCUCCCUUCAGAUAAUAAAGCAUCUGGAAUGACCGGAGCCCGAGUCCCAAGUCCUUUUCUCCGCUAGCGUGUAACUGAGGUCUGCCACAGGCGUUCCCUUAACUAUCGGAGCUCCUGCGGCAGACUGCCUGGGGUGGAAAGGAAAUCCCCCCGGGAGAAC
rnacentral:lncRNA from 12 species